UACGUAGGGGGCAAGCGUUGUCCGGAAUUAUUGGGCGUAAAGAGCGUGUAGGCGGUCCGGUAAGUCAGCUGUGAAAGUCAAGGGCUCAACCCUUGAAAGCCGGUUGAUACUGUCGGGCUAGAGUCCGGAAGAGGCGAGUGGAAUUCCCGGUGUAGCGGUGAAAUGCGCAGAUAUCGGGAGGAACACCACUGGCGAAGGCAGCUCGCUGGGACGGUACUGACGCUGAGACGCGAAAGCGUGGGGAGCAAACAGG
rnacentral:rRNA from 1 species